GACGAACGCUGGCGGCGUGCCUAAUACAUGCAAGUCGAACGAGAGCAACCGGUGCUUGCACUGGUCAAUCUAGUGGCGAACGGGUGAGUAACACGUGGGUAACCUGCCCAUCAGAGGGGGAUAACAUCCGGAAACGGAUGCUAAAACCGCAUAGGUCUUCGAACCGCAUGGUUUGAAGAGGAAAAGAGGCGCAAGCUUCUGCUGGUGGAUGGACCCGCGGUGCAUUAGCUAGUUGGUGAGGUAACGGCUCACCAAGGCCGUGAUGCAUAGCCGACCUGAGAGGGUGAUCGGCCACAUUGGGACUGAGACACGGCCCAAACUCCUACGGGAGGCAGCAGUAGGGAAUCUUCCGCAAUGGACGCAAGUCUGACGGAGCAACGCCGCGUGAGUGAAGAAGGUUUUCGGAUCGUAAAACUCUGUUGUUAGAGAAGAACAAGUGCUAGAGUAACUGUUAGCGCCUUGACGGUAUCUAACCAGAAAGCCACGGCUAACUACGUG
rnacentral:rRNA from 1 species